rnacentral:lncRNA from 1 species
AUCUGGAAAAAAAAACGAGAAAGCUUGAUUUGGCGAUGGCGACAGCAGCGAUGGCAAAGGAUUUCUGUUGAUUUUCAAACAGGUAAUCUCUUGUAUCUUCACUCUUUUGUUGAUUUCUAUUUCUCUUCUAUAUCUCCUCUUCUAAAAUUUCUACAAAUUUCGAUUUUCGAUUUCUGUUUUCUGAUUUCUCUUUUGUUUUAUACAAAUUUCGAAAUGUACGUUGCUUUAAACCAUUUUUGAUGAAAUUAUACUACCCUAAGCAUGCCUAAUACUCUUAAUUUCAUGGAAUUGUGAAAUUUUAGGGUUAGGGUUUUACUGUUGAUGUUAGAAAAUUGGGGGUUUUUGUAAUUGGGGUUUUUGUAUAAUUGUGGGUUUUACUGUUCAUUCAAUUGGUUAAAAUGGGACGAUUUACCGGUGGAAUUAGCAUGUUGCUGGAGAAAGUUUUCCCUUUAUAUCUGACAACUGACCAUGGGUGGUAAUUCAUCGACUCUAUUCUUACUUGCCAGGCUAUUUAUGAUAAUAUCUGUACUAUUUUUUAGUAGUUGCUGGUGAAAGUUUUCCCUUUAUUAGCAUGUUUUCCCUUAUCAUAUAUCCUGAACUAUUUCAUGGUCUGAAAAAAUAACUUGUUGCGCAUACACAGUAUUUUUUUUUGCUGGUCUAUUUCUUCUUUUUUGUUAAUGCAUAUGUUGCAACUAACUCUUAAAAAAGAUAGCUUUGGCCAUAAUAAUGUUUUCAUUUGAUCUUAAAAAAGGUGUGGUCACUAUGUGAUAAUUUCUACAAACAAAACAAUGUGAGUGUGUGGGGAGUGUGGAGUGUGGAGAUCACUACAUACUGCCACUGGUGUGUUAAAAUUCCACAGUGGACAGUGGUUCCACUUCUGAAGUAGUGCAAAAACUUUAGUUUGUGUGACAAAAUGGGGGUUAUAUAUAUAUACUCCAUUAUGCUGAUGUAGGUGUUCUUAAUAGAUUGGCUGGUUUCAAGUUGUAUUUUCGCUUUAGUUCAAUCAUGCGUAGAUAUUUUCUGAAUGUUGUAAACAUUAGGGGUUCCGAAUUUUAUACGGGCAUAUUUAAUUUGAGGAAUCUCCCCAAAAUAUAGUGGUAACCACCUGUAGACUAAGACCUGUCAAGUCUAAUUGUUGUUGAUAAAUGUGUGUUCGACUCUUGUCUUCUUCCCAUAGUUUCUGCAGUCCCAUACUUAUGUUUAUUUGAAGAUAUCAUUACUUAGUAAAUGACAUUUUAUUCUAAGUUUAUUGGGGGAUUUAGAGAUACCCCCCAAAAUAAUAGGAACUCUUUGAGAUACCCCCCAGAUUUAAAAAUCAUUAGAGAUACCCCCCAGAUUUUCAUUUCAAGCCGGUCAACCGAGCCAUUGACCAAUAUAACUUUUAUAUUGACAAAAAUACCCUUCUCAAUUGAAGUUAUAUCCUAGUCAUCCAACCCAAUUACCAUGUAUGCCAUAUCAUGUAAACUUAGAUCUAAUCCUAACUAUUCAAUAAGAUAAAACCCUCAAAUCUAAUCCUAUGGUUAGAAACCAAUAUUUUUUUCUCCAACUCUUCUUCCUUCUUCUCAACCACCAAUUCCUCCACCACCACUAUUAAAACCACCAAUUCCUCCACCAAACUACUAAAUCUUCUCUCUCCUCUUCUACUCAUAAAUCACCCCAUACAACCACAACCACCACCACCACCNNNNNNNNNNNNNNNNNNNNNNNNNNNNNNNNNNNNNNNNNNNNNNNNNNNNNNNNNNNNNNNNNNNNNNNNNNNNNNNNNNNNNNNNNNNNNNNNNNNNCCACCACAACCACCAUUCCUCCACCACCACUAUUAAAACCACCAAUUCCUCCACCAAACUACUAGAUUUUCUCUCUCCUCUUCUACUAAUAAAUCACCCCAUACAACCACAACCACCAAUUCCUCCACCACCACCACUAAUAAACUACCAAUUUCUCCACCCCACUAAUAAACUACCAAUUUCUCCACCCCCACUACUAAAUAUUCUCUCUAAUCUUUUUCUGACACAAAAAAAUCUUCUCUCUCUUAUUCUCAUAAAUCACCCCACAACCACCAAUACCUCCACCACCACUACUAAAUCUUCUUUCUCCUUUUUUUCUCACAUAAACAAUUUUUUUCUCUUCUUUUGUACUCGUAAAUCACCCAACACAACUACAAAAACCACCAAUUUCUCCACCACCACUACUAAGUCCACUAAUUUCUCCACCACCACUAUUAAAGUUCUUGGAUUAAUGGGGUAUGGGUGUGGUUAGGAUCAAUGGGUUUGAAUUACAUGAGAUGGACGGUUAUGAUUUAAUGGGGUAUGGGUGUUGGAUGUGAGUAAAAUUUGUUUAUGUUAAAGGUUUUGCUGACAUGGCAUACAAGUAGAUGACUAGGAUUAAGGUUCAAAUAAAAGAAGGGUAUUUUUGUCUAAAAAACAUAAAGAUGUGUCAAACAUAGGUCAAUGGCUCGGUUGACCGGCUUGAAAUGAAAAUCUGGGGGGUAUCUCUAAUGAUUUUUAAAUCUGGGGGGUAUCUCAAAGAGUUCCUAUUAUUUUGGGGGGUAUCUCUAAAUCCCCCAAGUUUAUUUGAUUUAAAUAGAUGAGUUUUCAUUGUCAUCUUUGUUACUUGAUCCAUUCAAGAUAAAUUGUGGGUUGAUUCUUUGUUGUGUAUAUUAUAUAUGUACAAUACAACAGCGCAAUUUAUAUAUAAUUUUUAAUUCACAUUUCUACUUCUACCAUGCUCGUAUCUCCCAAACCUAGAAAUUCAAUAAUAGUAAAACCCUAUCCACAAAGUAUGGGGAAGAUAAAAAGAUCCUUUUUUGUUUUUUUCCGAGCUUAUUGCUAUGAUUUUUUCUUCCUAUAAUUUCGUCAUGUCAUGUAAGUCAACAAUAUAUACACAUAACACGUACGUACACUAUGAGAUUGAGAUAUAUAUCUAGCUACAAGUUGAUGUCUUGGUGCCAAAUGGCUUUACCCUUUCCACAGGAUCAAAAGCAUCACCUAAUGGUGGGAAGGAAGGCAGAUUAUAUUCUUUGCUUUGUCUUUGGUUAUAGAUUCAUUUCUCUUGUACUAUAUUUCUCUUAUCAUGUUUAUGUUCAUCUUUGUUGAUAUAAUGCUGUUAUUUCUCAUCUACUAUAUACAUCUACAUAUCAUGUUUGGGAUUAGUUGACUUCUAUUUAUUUUGUCUUAGUUUAGAAUCUUUGGAAAUCAGAAUAUUGUACAUUUUGAUGUUGGAUAGAAAUAAUAAUUUUAUUAAUUUUCAAGGAAAGAAAACACCAUUCUGAUCAGCAUGUAGACUAAGACCUGUCCAGUCUAAUAGUUGUUGAUAAAUGUGUGUUUGACUCUUGUCUUCUUCCCAUAAUUUCUGCAGUCCUAUACUUAUGUUCAUCUAUAAUUUAUUUUUAGGUUGAGACUGAAGAGCAACUGCAGUUAUCUGAGGCUUAUGCAAUUUCUGCAGUCCCAUACUUUGUCUUCUUCGAGGUUAGUAUAACAGAUAACCGGUGUUCAGCUUAUUGGACACCAUCUUAAACUUUGAAAUGACAUUUUCUUCUAAUCACUAUAUAUUGAUGCAUAUCUAUUAAAUCUUGAAGUAGUAUUGCUUUGUAAUGUAAUGGUGUUUCCUUUUGAUUGGUAAGACUUAAGACUGGCUUAAGUGGCCUAGAGAAGUGCCAUAGAGAAUCUGCAAGUCAAUGGUCUUAAAACAUUACAGUAUUUGACCUGUAUCACAUAAGCCAAGAGACAAAGAUUGAGACAUUUUAAAUAAUUUCUUCAAUCAAAUUGGAUAGUCAGUAGAUUAAAAAUUUUAGAUUAGUCUUCUUCCUCCAUUUAAAUAGCAUGGUGUCUUGAAUUUGUAUUUUUUUUUUUUAAAACUGACUUAUGUUUUUUUUUUUGGUAUGUUUCUCGUUAUGCGCAACGGUGGUUUGAACUAUGUGUUGGGGAUAAUUUCUCUAACUGUUUGUUGUUGUGACAUUUACAGGUAAUUCAUUCUUUUGUUGGUUUGAUCUAUUCAACAUAUUUUUGUUUGUAUUUUUAUAACGCAUGGAUCGUUUUACUGUUGUAGUUUCCUGUGCUCCGUGGUCCGUGUCGAUUGAAAGAUUGGGUGUCGGGUUGUUAUUGCUGCGCUUAAGGU